AUUAUUCAGGCUGUUCCUCUUAGUUCAAGAAAAACUACUGGAGGUUCUGCAGAAGGGAUUGCACCCUUUUUGCAGCUGCCCCAUUUCAGUGAGUCUGUUGUCAAGAAGAUAGCUCGGAAGAAAGUGAGAUCUUUUCAGGAUUUUUGUGAUAUGGCUCGUCAAGAUCGUGCUGACCUCCUAGAGCAGGUUGCUGGAUUCUCCUUACCUGAAGUACAAGAUAUUGAGAUGGUACUGGAAAUGAUGCCUUCUGUAACCAUUGAAGUUAGAUGUGAGACUGAAGGUGAAGAAGGUAUACAGGAGGGUGACAUUGUCACCGUUCAAGCUUGGGUAACCAUCAAACGUGCUAAUGGCUU
rnacentral:misc_RNA from 1 species